GGAGGAGCAGAAACGUAGAGCAGCUGAAAGGAGAAGGGAGGAGAAGAGACAAGAGAGAGAGAGGGAGCAGGAGAACCAGAGGAGGUUUGAGUGAGAGCAGCAGCUCCAGACCCAGGCCCAGCAACACUACCAUAGAACUCUGUUACUACGGCGAGGCACAGCGCCAUGGAAGUGCAGAGUCGCCAUGAGCCAAGCCAACACUCAGCUGGCCAGGGCUCAUCACAGCCAGUCUCUCCUGAAACGGUGCAUCCUGUCCUGGCAGCAAGUAACAGCUGAAGGACCACCGCAUGGUUGUAGAGGGGCGGGCCGACCGGUUCUGGCGCAUGCACACUCUGAGGAGGGCUCUGAUGGCGUUACUAGAUCACGUGACCCAGGAGAGGAUGGUGGAGUGGGACCGGGAGCAGCAGGCUCAGGGACACAGUGAUAGGUGGGCGGGCGGUGCGGAGUUGUUUCCAGGCCUGGAGACAGUAUCCAGGGUCACUGCGUGAGGAGAGAGAGAGAGGGAAACCAGGAGGGAGAAGCUGAGAAGCAGAGUGGCAGAGGUCCUACCUGACUUUCACUCCUCUCCUCUGAACGGUCAAUGGGUACAAGCCCUGCUGUGACUCACAGAACACACAGGCAGACAGACGGAAUACUUCAAUACACGAUAAUCCAGCAGAUGGGAGCCAAUAAAUGUGUCUUGUUGCUGGUGUAACAAGCACACACACACAGGCUGUUUGUCAUCCUUAAUGACCAGAGAAAGCUGGAUAGUACUUUAAUGAAGACCGUUUGGAAAAACUUUUGUAACACCAAUGACUCGUUUAAAACUGAAGCGUAUGUUCAGGUUAUUGAAUUUGUUUAUUUGGGUAUCAUUGAAGUCACAGUUUGAUGUAAUUUGACAGAAGCUUGAACGCAUCAAUAAGGAUUUGCACUGUGGUUUGUGUGUCGGUUGUUUUUGUUGCUUUAUUCAGUUAAUGCAACAACACUAAUGAUCCUGACCAGCCUCCGUCUACAGAGAUGUAUCAACAUGAUGUUGUUUAAUAAAAACCCAUGGGCUAUUUCUGAAGCUCACAGGAACCGGUACACACAAGAA